UUCUCAUGUUCAGAUGAGAUACGUAGGCACAAGAUGCGAUGUCUUGCCGAGUUUGACUAACGACUAACAACUAAUCCUUGUUUGCUUUCGCCCUUGUUGCGAUCCUUUCUCUCGCCCUCGUUGCGAUCGAGACCUUCCCUUUCUCUUGCCCUAGUUGCAAUCGAGACCUUUGUUCCCGUAGUUAGUUUGAACUACGUUUUGCUCUGAUUCUCAUUCCCGAUGAGAUACGUAGGCAUAAGACGCGAUGUCUUAGCGAGCA
rnacentral:lncRNA from 1 species